rnacentral:rRNA from 1 species
AGUCUUUUGGUUUUAAGGCUUAAAGCCAUGCAAGUCUCAGUACGAGCUUUCUUAAAGUGAAACCGCAAAAGGCUCAGUAAACCGGUCAUAGUUUACCGGAUAAAUGCCACUACGUGGAUAACUGUGGUAAUUCUAGAGCUAAUACAUGCAAACCAAGUCCCGACCAGCGAUGGAGAGGACGCUUUUAUUGGAUCAAAACCAUUCGCCCGGCUCGUCCGGGCGUCUGCUUGAUGACUCUAGAUAACACCACAGAUCGUACGGUCACAGUACCGGCGACAUAUCCUUCAAAUGUCUGACUUAUCAGCUGUCGAUGGUAGACUCUGUGUCUACCAUGGCGUUCACGGGUAACGGGGAAUCAGGGUUCGAUUCCGGAGAGGGAGCCUGAGAAACGGCUACCACAUCCAAGGAAGGCAGCAGGCACGCAAAUUACCCACUCCCGGCACGGGGAGGUAGUGACAAAAAAUAACGAUACGGGACUCAUCCGAGGCCCCGUAAUCGGAAUGAGAACAUCCUAAAUCCUUUAACGAGGAUCUAUUGGAGGGCAAGUCUGGUGCCAGCAGCCGCGGUAAUUCCAGCUCCAAUAGCGUAUAUUAAAGUUGUUGCGGUUAAAAAGCUCGUAGUUGGUUCUGCGUGCCACGCUGUCGGUUCACCGCCUGUCGGUGCAACUGGCAUGUCGUGGCAUGUCCUGCCGGUGGCGGAUAGGCUUCGCGGCGCUCCCUACUCGAUACGUCUUGUAGGUCGUCGCGUCGUCCUUGUACGCCGACUCAAUCCUACCGCGGUGCUCUUUACCGAGUGUCGAGGUAGGCCGGCACAUUUUACUUUGAACAAAUUAGAGUGCUUAAAGCAGGCUCUUAAAUCAGCCUGAAUAGUGGUGCAUGGAAUAAUGGAACAGGACCUUGGUUCUAUUUUGUUGGUUUUAGGAAUCCAAGGUAAUGAUCAUAAGACAGGCGGGGGCAUUCGUAUUGCGACGUUAGAGGUGAAAUUCUUGGAUCGUCGCAGACGCACUAGAGCGAAAGCAUUUGCCAGUAUGUCUAUGAUCAGACGAAGUAGAGGUCGAAGGCGAUCAAGAAUACCGCCCUAGUUUUUAACAAUAAACGAAU